UAAUUAAAGAUUAAAAUAGCAUGGGCGACUGAGAAUUUUUUUGGAGGUCACAAUUUAAGACCAUAUGGCAAACAAUAAUGCAGGUACUAGGGAUGGAGGUGUGACUAGGGAUGGAGGUGUGACUAGGUACUGGGGAUGGAGGUGUGACUAGGGAUGGAGGUGUGACUAGGUACUGGGGAUGGAGGUGUGACUAGGGAUGGAGGUGUGACUAGGUACUGGGGAUGGAGGUGUGACUAGGGAUGGAGGUGUGACUAGGGAUGGAGGUGUGAGUAGGUACUAGGGAUGGAGGUGUGACUGGGGAUGGAGGUGUGACUAGGUACUGGGGAUGGAGGUGUGACUGGGGAUGGAGGUGUGACUAGGUACUGGGGAUGGAGGUGUGACUACAUACUGGGGAUGGAGGUGUGACUAGGGAUGGAGGUGUGACUAGGUACUAGGGAUGGAGGUGUGACUAGGUACUAGGGAUGGAGGUGUGACUAGGGAUGGAGGUGUGACCAGUUACUAGGGACGUUGAUGUGAGUAGGUAAAAGGGAUGGAGGUGUGACUAUGUACAAGGGAUGGAGGUGUGACUAUGUACAAGGGAUGGAGGUGUGACUAGGAAUGGAGGUGUGACCAGGCACUAGGGAUGGAGGUGUGACCAGGCACUAAGGAUGGAGUUGUGACCAGGUACUAGUGAUGGAGGUUUGACCAGGUACUAGGGAUGGAGGUGUAACGGA
ensembl:lncRNA